rnacentral:misc_RNA from 1 species
GAGACCUCAGCAUUUGUGGACUGUUGAAAAAAGGUCAGGUCUGACACUCGAAGAAUUCUGGGAUAUAUAUGAUGGAAAGUGGCCAGUCAUAAUAACUGAUGUUGUACGACACUGGCCAGCAUUCAACUGGACAAAGGAGUUCUUCAUACAGAAAUAUGGGAAACAGAGAGUUACUUUCAAAGCCAUUGUUGACGGGAUUCAGCAUGUGACAGGCUACGUCCAACCCCUGGAAAAUUUCAUCAGCACUCUCCACCAAUCAAACAUCAACACGUGGAAUUACCUGGAGGACGAAAUAUUUCUGCUGCAGAGACCGGAGCUUCGGAAGGAUAUCGGAGAUCAUAUAUAUGCAUCAGAAAACUUUUUUUCCUUCUUCCCGUUUGAGAUCCGCCCCUGGGAUGCUGCUUUUCUUUGGGGGGCCAAACAUUCAAGAUCUACCCUCCACAUGGACCCCUACAACUGGACAGCUAUCAGUGCAGUCCUCAGUGGGGUAAAAAAGUGGAAGCCCAUUGGAUGCCUUUGAUCCAGAUUUGAAACAUUAUCCAAAGUUUGGCCGAGCUCAGUACUUGGAGACGGAGCUUUUACCUGGAGAGAUGCUGAUAAUUCCAGCUGGAUGGUUUCAUCAGGCUUAUAAUGCAGACGAAACAAUGGCUAUAUCCAGUCAACUGAUGAACAGAAAUAACUAUCUCAUAAUUCUUGAGGAAAUCAUUAAGGGGGGCAGUGUCAAGAGAAAGAAAUUGCCAGCUCAUUUUAAUACCCUUAUGCCACCUGAUCAGGUGAAGCUUUUCCUAUCCUGUAUUUCAAAAAAGAUCUUGAAGAAAGGGAAAGAGCUGACAGAAGUGGUACUUAAAAUGGUGUCCGAAACCCAAGUCUCAUAGACUAUGCAGAACUAUUUUUAUGAAUUAAAUAUAUGCACAAUGUGCAAAUGACAAUAAAAGUUAAACAUGU